rnacentral:tRNA from 1 species
GGGACCGUGGCGUAAUGGCAGCGUGCCGGACUUUUAAUCCGUGCGGUGAGAGUUCGACUCUCUCCGGUCCUA